rnacentral:rRNA from 1 species
CAGUAGCCGCGGGAAUACGAAGGGUGCAAGCGUUAAUCGGAGUUACUGGGCGUAAAGCGUGCGUAGGCGGUGAGUUAAGUCUGCUGUGAAAUCCCCGGGCUCAACCUGGGAAUGGCAGUGGAUACUGGCUCGCUAGAGUGUGUCAGAGGAUGGUGGAAUUCCCGGUGUAGCAGUGAAAUGCGUAGAUAUGCGGAGGAACACCGAUGGCGAAGGCAGCCCCCUGGGCCAAUACUGACGCUCAUGCACGAAAGCGUGGGGAGCAAACAGGAUUAGAUACCCCAGUAGUCCCUGUCUCUUAUAC